UGCCAGCCGCCGCGGUAAUACGUAAGUCGCAAGCGUUAUCCGGAAUUAUUGGGCGUAAAGCGUCCGUAGGCGGUUUUUUAAGUCUGUGGUUAAAUCCCAGGGCUCAACCCUGGAAUCGUCAUAGAAACUAUUGAACUUGAGUACGGGAGAGGAAAGUGGAAUUCCGAGUGUAGGGGUGAAAUCCGUAGAUAUUCGGAGGAACACCAGUGGCGAAGGCGGCUUUCUGGACCGAUACUGACGCUGAGACGCGAAAGCGUGGGGAGCAAACAGGAUUAGAUA
rnacentral:rRNA from 1 species